AACCAAUAGCUGAGAGACACGUAUGCUUAUUACACAAACACACAAUAAAACUGAAACACCAAAUAAAUUGGUCUCCCCUUUAAGAAAUCCAAAAUACUCCGAAGUCCUCCUCUCUGAAACAACACUUGCGAUUAUCUCUUUAAGAAUCCAACUCGUUCGUGGGUUUCGAUUAUGAACUUCCUGCUCAAAUUGAAGUUGAACCUGCUCAAAUUGAAGAUGACCUUCAUGAAAUGUGAACCAAAGUGAGAACUUAGUCGAAGAUCAAUGGAACAUCUACAUUUGCAACAUAUUGAGUUGCUGUUUUGGAAGUGCCUUGUGCUGUAUUUUUUUCCUUUUUGUUCAUGUAAUUUUUCUGAUGUAAUGUUUUUUGCACUUUUUUAUGCUAUUGUAUCCGGUUGUGGAGAUACAUACUAGUUGGUAAUGCUAUUGUAUCCAAUUAUGGAGAUACUACUUUUUAUGCUAUUGUAUCCAGUUUUGAUAA